rnacentral:rRNA from 1 species
UCCUCCCUCUGGCGGCGUGCUUAACACAUGCAAGUCGAACGGUAAGGCCCCAGCUUGCUGGGGUACACGAGUGGCGAACGGGUGAGUAACACGUGGGUGACCUGCCCCGCACUUCGGGAUAAGCCUGGGAAACUGGGUCUAAUACCGGAUAGGACCGCACCGUGAGGGUGUGGUGGAAAGUUUUUCGGUGUGGGAUGGGCCCGCGGCCUAUCAGCUUGUUGGUGGGGUAAUGGCCUACCAAGGCGGCGACGGGUAGCCGGCCUGAGAGGGUGGACGGCCACAUUGGGACUGAGACACGGCCCAGACUCCUACGGGAGGCAGCAGUGGGGAAUAUUGCACAAUGGGCGGAAGCCUGAUGCAGCGACGCCGCGUGGGGGAUGACGGCCUUCGGGUUGUAAACUCCUUUCACCAUCGACGAAGGUUUUCUGACGGUAGAUGGAGAAGAAGCACCGGCUAACUACGUG